UGGGGAAUCUUGGACAAUGUGCGCAAGCCUGAUCCAGCCAUGCCGCGUGAGUGAUGAAGGCCCUCGGGUUGUAACGCUCUUUCACCGGUGAAGAUAAUGACGGUAACCGGAGAAGAAGCCCCGGCUAACUUCGUGCCAGCAGCCGCGGUAAUACGAAGGGGGCUAGCGUUGUUCGGAUUUACUGGGCGUAAAGCGCACGUAGGCGGACUUUUAAGUCAGGGGUGAAAUCCCGGGGCUCAACCCCGGAACUGCCUUUGAUACUGGAAGUCUUGAGUAUGGUAGAAGUGAGUGGAAUUCCGAGUGUAGAGGUGAAAUUCGUAGAUAUUCGGAGGAACAGCAGUGGCGAAGGCGGCUCACUGGACCAUUACUGACGCUGAGGUGCGAAAGCGUAGGGAGCAAACAGG
rnacentral:rRNA from 1 species